AAGCAAGAUAAACAUAGUUAGGGAAAUAAGUGACAUCUGUGUCUAAAAUGAACUUGCUGAUCUGUGUGAUCUUGCUGUGGCUGUUGAGCAAGAGAGAAAGAGAGCUAGUGAGAGAUGGCACAGCAAACAGAGGAGGCAGCCCUGGGAACUCUUGCACAGCCACUGCUCAGACAAGGAAGAAUGCAUGAGUGUGACAUGUGUGGGGGCAAUCUGCUUGCCACGAAAUUUGCUGGCUGGCUUAGAGAAUCCCAUCAAUACAAGGUUGUGCUAUUUGGAAUUUUUUUUUUUUUUUGGUAGGAAAGGGUUAGAGCUGAGAAAGCAUCAGGAAUUAUGCAGUGGGAAGGCUGUCUGCAAAUAUUGUCCCAAAUGCAUGUGUACAAAGGACAUCUAAAACCAAGGGAAGAUUUUAGGGGACAUACUGGUCCCAUUGACCUCAUCUCUUCUUUCAGACCCCGUCAGAACAGAAGAGCAAGAGAAACCAAGGAGAAGAGACCAAGAAGAAUGAGAAGAGAUGAAGGUGAAGAGACAGAACCUUCUGAGCUACUCCUUCCCUGCUAAAUCCCAGGCACAUGCUCCAGAUUCCUUAGGCAAAGGAAGAAAUGAAAGGAGAGAAAGAGACCAAAAUUUUAAACUCUAUUAAAAAGGACUGCACUGAUAUUUAUACCCCAAAGAACCAAUGAUGCCAUGGGAUCUAACUAAGAUAUUAACAGAUAUGAAAAGAGAUUCAACAGAGUAGAGGAGCUUCAGAUAUAUACCUGUCGUGGUUUGGCUCUGUGUUUCCACCCAAAUCUCAUGUCAGAUUGUAAUCCCCACACGUUGAAGGAGGGGCCUGGUGGGAGGUGAUUGAAUCACGGGAGCAGACUUGUCCCUUGCUUUUCUAGCGAUGGAGUUCUCAGGAGAUCUGGUUGUUUGAAAGUGCGUGGCACUUUCCCCUUUCCUGUCUCUCUCUCUCUCCUGUUCUGCCAUGGUAAGACGUGUUUGCUUCCCCAUAGCCUUCCACCAUGACUGUAAAUUUCCUGAGCCCUCCCAGCCAUGCUUUCUGUACAGCCUGUGGAACUGUGAGUCAAU
rnacentral:lncRNA from 10 species